rnacentral:rRNA from 1 species
GACGAACGCUGGCGGCGUGCUUAACACAUGCAAGUCGAACGGACAGGCCCUGCUUUUGUUUGUUUCUCGUUUGGCGAACGGGUGAGUAACACGUGAGUAACCUGCCCUUAUCUUUGUGAUAUCUUCACGAAACUCGGGCUAAUACCGCAUAUGAUCUCCUGCUGCAUGUUGUUGGUUGGAAAGUUUCGGCGGUUGGGGCUGGACUCGCUGCUUAUCCGCUUGAUUGUGUGGUAGGUGCUUACCAAGGCUUUGACGGGUAGCCUGCCUGAGAGGGGGAACGGCCACAUUGGGACUGAGAGACGGCCCAGAAGGGUAUGGGAGGCAGCAGUCGAGAAUAUUGCAGAGUGGGGGGAAGUGUGAUGCAGAAAUGCCGGGAGCGGGAUGACGGCUUUCGGGGUGUAAACAGAUGUGGAAGGUGACGAAGAGAGAGUGACGGUAAUGGGUAAAGAAGCAACGGCUAACUACGUG